ACCCGAGCACCGGGCCGCCAAUGCCAGCGCCGCCAUGGACCACCUCCAGGACGGCCUCCUCGCCCUCGCCGACGUGCACACGGCGUGUUCCGAGAGGGGCUGCUCGACCUCAGAUGUUACGACGCCGAGGACCAGGCCGUACUCCGGCGCCACAACGGUGCGAGGUUGCCGCCUUGCGUCCGCGGUCCGCGUCUAGCACCAUGCCGACAAGGACCUUGCUCGCCUCGCGUCCUCCCCGCGUGGCGCUACCAGACUCCCAUAGACGACGAGGUGUCCGAGACUCCGACCCCGAGGUGCUCGCCGAGGCCAUGGCCAUCGUGGCGUCCACGUCCACGUCCGUGUUUCGUCCGCCGCGGCAUCUGCUUCCUCCAAGAAACGGCAGCGACGGCGACACUCAUGUCCUUGAUGACCCGAAGCAGCAAAGGCCACUGCCACCAACGUGCUGCACUGGAGACCCGUAGCAGCAAAGGCCGCUGCCGCCGACGUGCUGAGCAGCUUGACCACGAGUGCUUCUACACGUUGCUGGCAUCCACGACCUCGGGCUCGCCUUGUAAGGUCGAGGAUUGCUACCUUUUUUUUCAGAAAAGCAGUAGGUCUGAACUUUGAAGUUGAGAGAGUAAUGCGAUGAGAGUAAUGGCUAACAAAUGAAGUGGCACAAGCAGUAACAGUUCAAGUCUUUUUUUUCUAUAAAAAAAUGAUUUCAAGUGCACAAGCAGUGCUUGGCUGAAGUCCAAUUACUAUAUGUUCC